UGUGGCUCAGUGGUAGAGCACUUGCCUAGCAUGUGUGAGAACUGGGUUCGAUUCUCAGCA
rnacentral:tRNA from 1 species